UUAUCCUCUCAGGCCUUUUGGCUAAGAUCAAGUGUAGUAUCUGUUCUUUAUAGUUUAACAACUAUAAUGAGGGACAUGUUCCCUCACGUUGUUAAUCUAAUUUUUUCCGCCCGGAAUCCAGAGCUCUGGCUUGCUAUCU
rnacentral:snRNA from 1 species